rnacentral:snoRNA from 1 species
GCCGAGGAUGACAACUUCACUACCCCGUGAGCUACGGCGCGGAGCGGGUAAACUUACAGAACAUCUAAGGGGCUGAGGU